rnacentral:rRNA from 1 species
AUUGAACGCUGGCGGCGUGCUUAACACAUGCAAGUCGAACGAAGUGGCGCACGGGUGUGUAAAACGUGGGUAACCUGCCCUCCUUUUUGGGAUAAGCCUUGGAAACGGGUCCUAAUACCGAAAAACGGGGGAUGGGCUCGGGGCCUGUCAGGUUGUUGGUGGGGUGAUGGCCGACCACGGCGGUGACGGGUAGCCGGCCUGAGAGGGUGACCGGCACCGUUGGGAGUGAGAUACGGACCAGAGUCCUACGGGUGGCAGCUGUGGGGGAAUUUGCACAAUGGGCAGAAUGCGGAGGCGGGGACGCCGCGUGGGGGUUGAGGGGUUUCGGGUUGUAAAGCUCUGUCGCUAUCGAACGGGUAGGUGGAGAAGAAGCGCCGGCUAACUACGUGCCAGCAGCCGCGGUAAUUC